UUGGUAAUGCACCUGAAAUAUUACCAAAAUGUUUUUCAACCGUUUUCUGGGCCACUUCAUGCCCCACUUGUGCAUGAAAUACCAAAUGGCAUUCUUUUAAAAUGAUAUCGGCCAAAAGGCAAAUUAAACAUGCAGAGAAAUGAGGAUUCUUCUGUAAGUUUUUGGUGCCAAUAAAAAUUUGACACGUCAACAACUGAGAAAACUUUGCAACCAUUCAGAGUACUCAAAAUUGUUUCAAAACUUGGUGGUUUGAAAUCUUCUUUUUCCAAUGGCUUCAUUAAGAUCUGGUGGUUCUAGACACAAUCUCAGAGUUUUGUUUGCUUUUUCAACGAUUACUAAAUUGCUAACCCAGGUAACUGGUCCUAAUCUACUUUAAUUGGUAAUAAUAUCUUUUCUUUCAAGCUUGUUGAUAGUUCCCUUGAGUUUCUCUAUCAGUCUUAUGGGACAUUCCUUUGUGGUUGAAUAGUAGGAUGACUAUUGGCCUUCAACUUGAUGUUAUACUCUCCCUCAACACAACCUGAACCUUUGAAAACAUCCUGAAAUUCAUCCAGAAGGGUGAAUUUUUCACUGAGACCUACUUGUUCUACUUUGUUAUCCAGGGUGAUUAGCUCUAGGUCUACACAUGAUUCUAAACCAAGGAGGUGUCUUACAUUAUCUUGGAGUACAUAAAACUCCAAGGGUGUUGAACCCUUAGUUUCCUAUACCUUCGUAUCAAGAAGACAUUUGCCCACAGUAUCUAGCUAGCUGGUGCCUCCCAAAUGACUUGAGUAGCAUGCUUGUUGGCUGUACCUGGGCAUUCAACUCAUGAGUCAAACCUAUGGAAAUUACAUUACAUUCUGCACCAGUAUCAAGUUUAAAACUUGCAGGAAUGUCAUUAACAAGUAGAUCUGACUCAAUGUUCCUUCUAGUACUACCUUGAAUUUCCUUGAUGUUCAGACCCUCCAAUAUGCUCCUCUACUUUCAUGUGACGAAGACGCUUCUUCCGUGCUAUUCUUCGAUUUGAAGCAGCACUGAGCAUAGUGGUUUCUUCCAUUGCAUUUGUGACACAUGGCUCUGUAGGCCAGACAAUUUCCUUUGUCAUGACACGUUGUGAAGAAUUUGCAUUUCAUUAUUCUCUGCAAGUCUUUGUUUUUGGAUUUUCCUGUGUCCACCUGUGGCUUUGUCUUCUUUACAGCGUGGAUGCUACCCAUCUGAGUAGUUGGUGAGAUGAAGAUUUUUGACUGUUCCUUAGAUUCUUCUGUGAUUCUGCAUAGUUUGAUGGCUUUCUCGAGUGUUAAAGAAUACUUUGGAUAGUUGCUAUGUGUAUGGCAUCGUCCUUUCUGAAAGGCCACUCAAUAUCCAAUACAAUUUCCACACUUCCUUCCAUUCCUUCCACACAUCUGUGAGGUUGAGACUAUUAAUAUCCAAUUCUGAGGGAGGUUUGAUACUUUCUUUGUCAGAGUUGAGAGUCAGUAAGCUUUCUUUAAAUCACUUUUGCAGAGAUCCCUGUGGUACCAUGUUAUGAGUAUAAAAAAGUACAUGUCUACACACUUUAACUUCAAGAGUGUAUUGCAGUUCUUUACACAACAUGUGAUCCUCAAGAUCAGUCAAAUUUCCUCUAAGACUCCUUCAAAUGUCAGGACUUGAGUAUCUCAUCCAUUUACAGUUCAAAGCUGUAGCAUUGGUGUGGCUGUAUAGAGAGCCAGUUCCUAAACCAGUGGCUACACAGAGCUGAGUUAAUAAUUUCUGUGCAACAAAAAUGCCAGGUUACCCUAUAUUGGAAGGGGACAAGCAGAACCUCGAAGACAAGUUUAUCUGUGAAUACUGUCAAUCUGUGUUGAGGGAUGCAACAAGGGCAAGCUGUGGCCACUUCUUCUGUAGUUCCUGUGUAAAGCAUCUUUUCCU